ACAUGCAAGUCGAACGGAAGUCGUUAUAAAAAGGAUUGAAGAUUUAUCUGAUUGAGAUUUUAUAACAAUGGCUUUAGUGGCGGACUGGUGAGUAACGCGUGAGCAACCUGCCUACUAGAGGGGAAUAACAGUGAGAAAUCAUUGCUAAUACCGCAUAUGCCAUGAACAUCACAUGAUGAAAAUGGGAAAAGAGUAAUCUGCUAGUAGAUGGGCUCGCGUCUGAUUAGAUAGUUGGCGGGGUAACGGCCUACCAAGUCGACGAUCAGUAGCCGGACUGAGAGGUUGAACGGCCACAUUGGGACUGAGAUACGGCCCAGACUCCUACGGGAGGCAGCAGUCGGGAAUAUUGCGCAAUGGAGGAAACUCUGACGCAGUGACGCCGCGUAUAGGAAGAAGGUUUUCGGAUUGUAAACUAUUGUCGUUAGGGAAGAUACAAGACAGUACCUAAGGAGGAAGCUCCGGCUAACUACGUGCCAGCAGCCGCGGUAAUACGUAGGGAGCAAGCGUUAUCCGGAUUUAUUGGGUGUAAAGGGUGCGUAGACGGGACAACAAGUUAGUUGUGAAAUCCCUCGGCUUAACUGAGGAACUGCAACUAAAACUAUUGUUCUUGAGUGUUGGAGAGGAAAGUGGAAUUCCUAGUGUAGCGGUGAAAUGCGUAGAUAUUAGGAGGAACACCGGUGGCGAAGGCGACUUUCUGGACAAUAACUGACGUUGAGGCACGAAAGUGUGGGGAGCAAACAGGAUUAGAUACCCUGGUAGUCCACACCGUAAACGAUGGAUACUAGGUGUAGGAAAUGAUUUCAUUUUCUGUGCCGUCGCAAACGCAAUAAGUAUCCCACCUGGGGAGUACGGCCGCA
rnacentral:rRNA from 1 species